UGAAUGUGUCUGUGUGUGUGAGAGAGAGAUAAUGUGUCUGUCUGUGUGUGUGAAUGUGUCUGUGUGUGUGUGAAUGUAGAUAUGCAUGCAUAAUUAAUCGGGAAAAAAAACGAGUGAUCUCAUUUGCUGAGCCCUUUACGUGGCUUAGAAGGGAGAGUGUGUCCUAGCUGCCACAGUGAAAGACUGAAGGUGGAAGAGUGGUCAGAAGUAAUGCUGCUGGCUUUGAGACGGAAGAAGGAGUCACAAUGGGAAGCUUUUUUUUUUUAAGACAAGAUUUCAUGUAGCCCCAGGCUGGCCUCCAACUCACUGGCUAGUUGAGGAUAGCCCUGGAGGUUCUGCUUCUCCUGGCCUCGCUUCCUGCUAGGGCUAGGAUUAGAGAGACAUUUUCCACCAUCUGGAUAUGGAUUAAUCCGGAGCAAUGAGUGGUCUUCCAGGUGUGGGAAACCAAGUUCACAGUGAAGUGAGGUGGCCAGGGUGACAAAGGCAGACUGAACUACCACUGGGUUCUAGUGCUGUCCCAUCACACAGCUCAGAAGGUCUGUACCAAAUACCAUGCAAGACUCGGCCUUGGUUGUCUGAAAUCCAGAGCUGAUGGCUAAGGCUGAGAUUGCAGCUAAUGAGAUUUUGCGCCACUUCUGUUCCUCUGCCCACUAAGCUACACAGAGACUGUCAAGACUGCGUUCCAAAUGAACAGCGAAAUCAGGACAUCCACUCUCCGGUUCAAGAGUUCAUUAGACUCAUUACUUCAAAGGAAGCCUGCUAAGUCUCCUGAGAGGAUCUUUCUAAAAUCGUUCCUUUCUCUCUCCCUGCUGACUUGCAGAUCGCACUGUCCCAGACUCGGGUCCACAUGAUAAGCCGUGCAGGGCUGGGGUGAAGGGUGGGUGGAGGUGGGUGUGUGAGCAAUGUCAGCAGGUUUCGUCUGCUUGAAUAUGUUUUCCUUUUCUUUCUCAUGAUGUAGCUCUGGCUGACCAGGUUGGCCUUGAACCCACUGAAGCCCACCUGGCUCUGCCUCUUGAGUGCCGAGAUUAAAGGCAUUCUCCAUAACUUUUUAAUUUUUUAUUGGUCUUUUUGGUUCAUUAGAAGGUGUCAAAAGUCAGCCUCAGAUGUCAACUCAGGCUGGGUAUGGUAGGUCACAUCUCUAAAUCCCAGCACUAGGGACACUGAAGCAGGAGGAUUGCUGUAAGUUCAAGACUACCCUGGACAGCAGAAUAAGACUCAAAAAUAAGAACAAUAACACUAAAAAGAUGCUGAUUGUUGGGUGUCUUACUUAGGGUUUCUGUUGUUGAGAUGAAAAACCAUGACCAAAAAGUCAAGUUGGGAAGGGAAGGGUUUAUUUGGCUUACACUUCCACAUCACUGUUCAUCACUGAAGGAAGUCAGGACAGGAACUUAAGCAGGGCAGGAACCUGGAGGCACAAGCUGAUUCGGAGGCCAUGGAGGGGUAUUGCUUACUGACUCAUGGCUUCCUCAGGCUGAUUUCUUACAGAACCCUGGACCACCAGCCUAGGAAUAGCACCACUCACCAUGGGCUGGGCUCUUCCCCAUGGAUUACUGAUUGGGAAAAUGCCCUACAGCUGGAUCUCAUGGAGGCAUUUCCUGGACUGGGGUUCCUUCCUCUCUGAUGACUCUAGCUUGUGUCAGGUUGACACCCCAAACCCGUCAGUACAGUGGGCACAGUUUUCCCUUCAAAUAUCCACUAUAACUUUGGAAAUGUGACAUUUGUCCUAAAGGAGAUGACCACAGGCAAAAUCUGGUAAGGUAGCUUGUAAAGGAGUAAGGAAUGGGUGUAGGGGUUUGCGAUUGAAUUGCAGGACUUGGAACAGUGCUGCUGAUGCCCAUUUAGGCGUGGCACAGCCUGUGAUCCUAGUCAUCAGGGGCAGGGGCAGGAGGAUUGACGUUCAAGUCAGCCUUGGCUACAGACCCAGGUACAAUCUCAAGAAAGACCCGGGGAAGCUCAAGCCAGACACUCUCAGCGUGGAUGUGGGGAGUAGGAAGGAGCUCCCACCCCAGCCGAGGAACUGCUGGAUCUGGAUAGCUGCUGAGAGAGAAGAGUCCGUUUUCCUUAAGGAUGUGGGCCCUGCUACGUUGAACACUCUCCCUGGCAAGCUCCCUAUCCAAGCGCAUUUGGAAACUUGAAUUGAAUUCCAAAUGUUUCAGGAAAAGGGAAAAGAGAGUAUGAAGUUGUAAGGGAAGAGAGAUGUGGUAUAUUUGGAAGGUAGAUUUGG